rnacentral:rRNA from 1 species
CAAAGGUAGCAUAAUCACUUGCCUAUUAAUUGUAGGCUAGAAUGAAAGGGUUAACGAAAUAAAGACUGUCUCAAUUAGCCACCUAAAAAUUAUUCUCUAUCCGAAGAAAGAUAGAUACUCUCGAAGGACAAGAAGACCCUAUAGAGCUUCAUUUUACUUAUAGAAUAUACUAUAAAAAUAUUCGGUUGGGGCGACCCUGGGCUAAAUAAUCACCCACUACAUAAAAGAUAUAUAAAUCUAGUAAAUGACCCUAUAAAGAUCACAAGAACAAGCUACCUUAGGGAUAACAGGCUAAUCCCAUUCAAGAGUCCUUAUCAACAAUGGGGUUUGGCACCUCGAUGUUGGCUUAGGGUAUCUAUAUAGCGCAAAAGUU